CGCAUCAUCUUCAGCGGCAGUGACGUCACCAGCGAGGCUCGUUCAGUUCACCUGAUGCGCGUACACCUUCAAACAGGUAAGCAAGGGUAAAUAUAUUUUUUUCUUCUUCUUUUUGUAAUGAUAUCACGUGGUUAAGCGUAUUGUUUUAAUUAUUUCAGUAUUUCUGCAUCACGUUAGACAGGGCCGUGUUUUUAAAGGGCAGUUUAUGCUCAAAUUAUGGGUCAGUGGGCUGCUCAGCUAGCCUACCAUUGUCAUUAGCCUAAGCUAACCUGUACUGUUUAUAGACCUGUUGCAGUUUUAAAUAAAUUUAUGAUGGGUCUUCAGCUUUUAGACAUGACUAAUACAAGCACAACAAAGCACCCAACCCAAUAUCGCGUGAUAAUCGUGAUCGUGUAAAAAGUCCACACAUUUAGCAUAUUUUUACAAUACUAGCCUAACUUUUGCUUGACCACGUCAUGUGUAGCCAAUACACACACAGUAACUACAGCAUAUUUACCAUGCUUCUCCUACUGUAACCGUAGUUUUACUCUGGACUUUGUAACGCACAUAACCACGACAUUUACUAUGGGUUUACCAUAGUAACCAUAGUUUUACUCUGGUAUUUGUAUUUACUAACACACAAUAACCACGACAUUUACUAUGGGUUUACCAUAGUAACCAUAGUUUUACUCUGGUAUUUGUAGUUACUAACACACAAUAACCACGACAUUUACUAUGGGUUUACCAUAGUAACCAUAGUUUUACUCUGGUAUUUGUAGUUACUAACACACAAUAACCACGACAUUUACUAUGGGUUUACCAUAGUAACCAUAGUUUUACUCUGGUAUUUGUAUUUAAUAACACACAAUAACCACGACAUUUACUAUGGGUUUACCAUAGUAACCAUAGUUUUACUCUGGUAUUUGUAUUUACUAACACACAAUAACCACGACAUUUACUAUGGGUUUACCAUAGUAACCAUAGUUUUACUCUGGUAUUUGUAUUUACUAACACACAAUAACCACGACAUUUACUAUGGGUUUACCAUAGUAACCAUAGUUUUACUCUGGUAUUUGUAUUUACUAACACACAAUAACCACGACAUUUACUAUGGGUUUACGAUAGUAACCAUAGUUUUACUCUGGUAUUUGUAGUUACUAACACACAAUAACCACGACAUUUACUAUGGGUUUACCAUAGUAACCAUAGUUUUACUCUGGUAUUUGUAGUUACUAACACACAAUAACCACAACACUUACCAGGAUUUUACCACAGUAACUGUGUUUUUACUCUACACUAUUUGUAAAGCACAGUAACCACUAAGUUUGCCAUGCCUUUAAUAUCUUUUUGUGAUGUAAUUGUAAUUCAGUGUUUUUUCUGUCUUGCAGUUACGUCGGAUUACAUACUCCACAACAACCUGUAAUCCAGCAGAUCUUUAAAGAAGCCAUCUCUUGUAAAAUCUCUCUCUCUCUCUCUCUCUCUCUCUCUCGCUCUGCUAGAAUUAACAGGGAACUUCAACUCCACGCUCCCAAUGCUGAUAUUGAAGAAGCUGUCAAGGGGGCUGAACAAGUCCUUCAAAGGGUCAACCCUUCACAGGAAGGCCUGUCAUGAGAUUUGAAUUUGACCAUCUUGUGCAUUUAUGAAGAAGACCAAAAGCUGCAAAGGCAAACACUUCCAAUGGAUUUCUCACAGAUUACUUAAUCAUUCUUCAUCAGCUCUUCACAAUAUCAGCCCAUUCAAAAGCUUCCAGAUCUUCCUCUCUUGUGUGACACAUCUGCUCUCAGUCCUUUACUGCCAACCUCUACAUUCAUCACUCCAAUCUCUACUAUAAGCACUCCUGUAUAUAUAUAUAUAUAUAUAUAUAUAUAUAUAUAUAUAUAUAUACACAUAAUAAUAAUAAUUAUUAUUAACCAUUUAUUUGUUUUGCAUUUAUUCACAAUAGAGGCAAACAAUGAUUACAGGAUAUAUGUUUUUAAAGGUGAUAAUUGUAAAAUAUUGGAGCAUUGUUCUUAAUCAUUUUUGCCUAUUUGGUUGAUAAAGGGAAGAAAACAAUAUAUUUUCAACUGUAGCCUUGAUUAUUCUUUGGCAUCUUUUGUCAGGAUUUCUGUAAACAAAUUCCCUUUUUAUUUUUGAAUAUUAAACUUAUGUUUUUUGAAGGGAGUUUCUGUUGCAAUUUUGUUUGUUUGUUUUCACUUAGUUACCUCUAUGCAUUUUUUUUUUAUCAACUUUUCUUUUUUUUUCAUAGUGGAAUAAACUGGAGAGAGACUGUUCUGGGCACUAUGUUUAUCUGCGAAAAGUUUGACAUAUCAAUAAACACUGUAAAAUGA